rnacentral:rRNA from 1 species
UACGGAGGGUGCAAGCGUUAUCCGGAUUCACUGGGUUUAAAGGGUGCGUAGGUGGAUUAGUAAGUCAGUGGUGAAAUCUCUGGGCUUAACUCAGAAACUGCCAUUGAUACUAUUAGUCUUGAAUACCGUGGAGGUCAGCGGAAUAUGUCAUGUAGCGGUGAAAUGCUUAGAUAUGACAUAGAACACCAAUUGCGAAGGCAGCUGGCUACACGAAUAUUGACACUGAGGCACGAAAGCGUGGGGAGUCAAACAGG